rnacentral:rRNA from 1 species
GACGAACGCUGGCGGCGUGCCUAAUACAUGCAAGUCGAGCGGGGUUUCAAAAGCUUGCUUUUGAAACUUUAGCGGCGGACGGGUGAGUAACACGUGGGCAACCUGCCUGUAAGACUGGGAUAACACCGGGAAACCGGUGCUAAUACCGGAUAAUCCCCAACCUCACAUGAGGUUGGACUGAAAGACGGUUUCGGCUGUCACUUACAGAUGGGCCCGCGGCGCAUUAGCUAGUUGGUGAGGUAACGGCUCACCAAGGCGACGAUGCGUAGCCGACCUGGGAGGGUGAUCGGCCACGCUGGGACUGGGACACGGCCCAGACGCCUACGGGAGGCAGCAGUAGGGAAUCUUCCGCAAUGGACGAAAGUCUGACGGAGCAACGCCGCGGGAGCGAAGAAGGCCUUCGGGUCGUAAAGCUCUGUUGUCAGGGAAGAACAAGUACCGGAGUAACUGCCGGUACCUUGACGGUACCUGACCAGAAAGCCACGGCUAACUACGUGCCAGCCGCCGCCGUAACAC